AUGCUUAACAUUGAGAUUUCAGAGACCUCAGGGCCCCAGAUCAAGGAGCUAACUGACGAAGACGCAGAGAGGCUGCAGCUAGAGAUUGACCAGAAAAAGGAUGCAGAGAAUCAUGAGGCCCAGCUCAAGAACGGCAGCCUUGACUCCCCAGGAAAGCAGGAGACUGAGGAAGAUGAGGAGGAGGAAGAUGAGAAGAACAAAGGAAAACUGAAGCCCAACCUACCCAACGGGGCAGACCUGCCCAAUUACCGCUGGACCCAGACCCUGUCGGAGCUGGACCUGGCAGUCCCUUUCCGUGUGAACUUCUGGCUGAAAGGGAAGGACAUGGUGGUGGACAUGCUGCGGUGGCACCUCCAGGUGAUGCUCAAGGGGCAGCCAGCGAUCAUCUGUGGGGAGCUCUACAAUGAAGUGAAGAUGGAGGAGAGCUCAGUGGCUCAUUGAGGACGGCAAGGUGGUGACUGUGCAUCUGGAGAUCAAUAAGAUGGAGUGGUGGAGCCGCUUGGUGUCCAGUGACCUUGAGAUCAAUACCAAGAAUAUUAACCCUGAGAAUUCCAAGCUGUCAGACCUGGACAGUGAGACUCGCAGCAUGGUGGAAAGGAUGAUGUAUGACCAGAGACAGAAGUCCAUGGGGUUGCAAACCUCAGACGAACAGAAGAAACAGGAGAUUCUGAAGAAGUUCAUUGAUCAGCAUCCAGAGAUGUAUUUUUCCAAGGCUAAAUUCAACUAGCCCCUGUUUUUUCCUCCCUGAACUCUUGGAGCCGAGCUGCAACCACCCAGCUUUCUUUCCCACUCUUCUCUGCGACUUGUGGGCCUCAGGGCUUGGGGCAGGCAUGGGACUGGCCCAGGCACACAGGUCCCAGGGCAUCAGGGGAAAGGCUGGAGAUUGGGGUCUUGUCCUCCCCAGUUGGUCUACUGUUACACGUUAAAAUGAUUUGCCCAGCU